rnacentral:tRNA from 1 species
GGUUGUGGCUCAGUGGUAGAGUGCUUGCCUUGCAUGCAUGAGGCCAUGGGUUUGAUCCUCAGCACCA